rnacentral:lncRNA from 1 species
GAAGAAAGAAGACAAGAAGGACAGACCCAAUGAAAACCCUAGACCAAAAAAGAAAGAAGACAACAACAAUUGCAAUGGAACUCCUCUCUCCAACAAGAUCAACUCUACCUCGACGAGUAGAAGGUAAGGUAGACGGCGUGCAUGCCUCUCUUCUCCUAUUUGUAGCACUACUCGAUUGGGGUGAUUUGCAUAAGUGAUCUAAUCGAUCAAUAUGUGUUAGCAUCCUAUUGGACACUGAAAUGCCAUCAGGUCAUCGUUAUCAAAACAUCCAAUCAUUGUGCUGGGAAGCUUGCAUGCCAUGAUGCCCUCUUGGAAAUUGGAAGCUAGCGCACGUCCCCCAUAAAGGCGGCAUGCCCUGUAGCUCCUUGAGAUAUAGCCCAAGCAAUGCAUGAUGUUAGGACUCCUCCCAUCCAAUGCUCCAAUUGAAGCACUGAAAGUGAGCCAGUAGCAACCAAAGGAAUGCCUCUAUGCAGCCUUGCUUGGGAAAUCCUUAUCAGUGUCAGCCUUAGAGGAGUCAUAGCAUGAAGCCUCAGCAUCCAUUCUAAUCAUCAAUGCCAUGGCAAGUGCAGAAGUUCUCUCCACUUUCUUCAUCCAAGCCAAAAAGAAUGCCUCAACCUCAGAAGUAAGGGACAAGUGAUACACCCU